CGCACCCGGCACAAACACACUUCUGACUUUGGUUCGGAGGAGCAGAUGCCUGCAGUGGCCUCUGCGGAAGAGGCCGGCUGGCAAGAUUCCAGGGGAAUAAAGACUUCCACUCGCAACCCCUCUGGUCACGUAGCUCUCACCACCAACUCUUCAGAAACCGGGAUCUGUUGCUCCCACCACAGCCUGGCUGUCUCCUCCCCUCCUGGGGAGCGGAAGAAUCCCAGGAUUUCAUAAAGGAGCUGAAGACCCCCUGACUACGGAGCUCAGCAGUGAGAUUGCUGGGUUUGGCUCAUAGCACUUCUACUGCACACCUGAAUUUUCACUUGCGCGGAGUGUCCCAGGAAUGUCCCCCACCUGGUGGCCUCACGCUCCCUCAUCAGCUGUGUGACUGGUAGCGGUUCUGCCCACAUCAUUCCUUAGAGCCUGAUCCUGCUGGGAAGUGCACGCAGAAGCUCACAUGCGCCAUGGAGAUGGGGAAACACCCCGAUCCUCUAGGGGAAGGAGCAUUUCGGGGGAAAGGAGGUCUCCUCGCUUGCAUGUCCCCUCCGCGGGUCUCAGCCAGUCCUCAGCUCCAGACCGAGUACUAACAGUCACUCUGGACCAUGGACGUCGCACUCUGGACUUUUACACACAGGGCCGGAGUGUGCAGACCAUGACGGAGCUGUGGCAGCUAUCAGGCCAGUUUUACAAAUGGGGAAACUGAGCCUGAAGGUCUUCUUUGAUCUGUUUUCACUCUCGGUGGUCUGGGUACUUACGGCAGAGGUUCUUAUGAGUUCUGCUCCCUCCUCAGCUCUUACACCUGAAGCUUCCGGAUAAGAGUGCAUCGCAGCACCACCUUUGGCUACUCUUUCCUGCCUCCCAGCAACCCAUAAUGAUAGAAACGCAGAAUUUUGGUGUCGUCACAGGAAACUGGACGUGGGCGCUGGCACCACACACCGGCCUACCUGCACAUACCAGCACUACCUGCCUAGAUGCAGGCACCCAAGACCUGCCUCGGGCAAGUCACAGGCCAUGAUGUAAGGACAGGCAGCCUAGGCCUGGGAUUCGCGCAUGGCCAUGGCCAGGGUUCUGAGCGCAGCCCCCUGGCUCUUAGGUACUGUGUCCCAGCUGGUGAUUUGCAUAAAGCUCCUUUAAAACUUCAGCUGCCUAGGGCACAUUUUUUGGUGAUUUCCAAGAACAUGGAUUUGUUGUGUCUACAUUUUGGAAUUUGACAAGCAUUAGGAGAACAUGAAUAAGUCUGAUUUUAUUCUUUUUAAAAUAAUUUUAA